rnacentral:rRNA from 1 species
AUGGAGAGCUUUCUGUGAAGCCGGGCUGUAAGGCAUCCGGUGGAGAGAUCAGAAGCGAGAAUGUUGACAUGAGUAGCGACAAACAGGGUGAGAAACCCUGUCGCCGAAAGUCCAAGGAUUCCUGCUUAAAGCUAAUCUGAGCAGGGUAAGCCGGCCCCUAAGGCGAGGCCGAAAGGCGUAGUCGAUGGGAACCAGGUUAAUAUUCCUGGGCCAGUGGGAUGUGACGGAUCGCAGAUGUAGUUUGCCCUUAUCGGAUUGGGUGGGCUGCUGAGCGGUUCCAGGAAAUAGCCCCACAUCAGACCGUACCCUAAACCGACACAGGUGGACUGGUAGAGUAUACCAAGGCGCUUGAGAGAACCACGUUAAAGGAACUCGGCAAAAUGCCUCCGUAAGUUCGCGAGAAGGAGGCCCCAUAUGUACGCAAGUAUGUGUGGGGGGCACAAACUAGGGGGUGGCGACUGUUUACUUAAAACACAGGGCUGUGCGAAGCCGUAAGGCGACGUAUACAGUCUGACGCCUGCCCGGUGCUGGAAGAUUAAGAGGAGGGGUGCAAGCUCUGAAUUGAAGUCCCAGUAAACGGCGGCCGUAACUAUAACGGUCCUAAGGUAGCGAAAUUCCUUGUCGGGUAAGUUCCGACCUGCACGAAUGGCGUAACGAUCUCCCCGCUGUCUCUAACGUGGACUCAGCGAAAUUGAACUGUGUGUCAAGAUGCACACUACCCGCGGUUAGACGGAAAGACCCCAUGAACCUUUACUCCAGCUUUGCACUGGUAUCAGGAUUGUGAUGUGCAGGAUAGGUGGUAGGCAUUGAAGCGGGGACGCCAGUCUUCGUGGAGCCUCCCUUGAGAUACCACCCUUCGCCAUCUUGAUAUCUAACCGCGGCCCGUUAUCCGGGUCCGGGACCCUGCAUGGUGGGGAGUUUGACUGGGGCGGUCGCCUCCCAAACAGUAACGGAGGCGCGCGAUGGUUGGCUCAGACCGGUCGGAAAUCGGUCGUUGAGUGCAAUGGCAGAAGCCAGCCUGACUGCAAGACUGACAAGUCGAGCAGAGACGAAAGUCGGUCAUAGUGAUCCGGUAGUCCCAAGUGGGAGGGCCAUCGCUCAACGGAUAAAAGGUACUCUGGGGAUAACAGGCUGAUGAUGCCCAAGAGUCCAUAUCGACGGCAUCGUUUGGCACCUCGAUGUCGGCUCAUCUCAUCCUGGGGCUGGAGCAGGUCCCAAGGGUAUGGCUGUUCGCCAUUUAAAGAGGUACGUGAGCUGGGUUUAGAACGUCGUGAGACAGUUCGGUCCCUAUCUGCCGUGGGUGCAGGAGACUUGAGAAGAGUUGACCCUAGUACGAGAGGACCGGGUUGAACGAACCACUGGUGGACCAGUUAUCGUGCCAACGGUAGUGCUGGGUAGCUAUGUUCGGACAGGAUAACCGCUGAAGGCAUCUAAGCGGGAAGCCCCCUUCAAAACAAGGUCUCCCUUGAGGGCCGUGGAAGACGACCACGUCGAUAGGCCAGAGGUGUAAGUGCAGCAAUGCAUUCAGCUGACUGGUACUAAUUGCCCGAUUGGCUUGAUCUG